rnacentral:SRP_RNA from 1 species
UCGUGCUAAGCGGGGAGCUGGCGGUGCCCUGUACCCGCAAUCCGCCAUAGCGGGGCCUAAUUCCCCCCUCGAGGGCCUGGGUUGGGAAACUGGCCGGACUGGAAAGCGUUGAAGGCUGGGUCCUGUGCAACGGGAGCCCACGAACCCCGCCAGGCCCGGAAGGGAGCAACGGUAAGUGGUAACUCCUGGGUGCCGCAGGGGCGCCUGGCCGGAGCCCAAGGUCCGGUUAAGCCCUGGGCUUCAGGUUCGAAAGGGGGGUGCACGA